AAUAAUGAGAACCUGUAACAAGUGAAAAAAAUGGACAGUAAAAAUGUAUCUACGUAGUUUUGGGAUUGCUCCAAAUCAAAACAAGCAGUAACCGUUGCUUAGGAACUGCCCUUUGUCAAAAUCAAAACUCACAAAUACUCGCACACACUCAGAGCAGCCACCGCCGUCACUGACAGCCCAGCCGUCUUGCUCUUGUGAUUUUUUAUGGCGGUCGUGUGACGACAGAAAUCAGCAAAAAACAGUUGGUUUUCGAAUAAAAUUGGAAAAACUCGGUCAAUAAUUAUGUAUUGUAAAGCAGGUUCGGCUGCUGAUUCGGAAAACCUUCGGAAUGCUGUUCGCGCUGAUAGUGAUGUCAAAAAACGCGGAUUUGUCCACGACGAAGGAUUUUCGGUGAGCUGAUACCAGAACUCCGGCAGGAACAGGCAGGAUAAAUGAAAUAAUGUGUGGAAUAGGUGAAAAGUGAUGCUUUGGAUAAAAAUCAUGAAUAAAAAAGUGAAAUAAUUAA